rnacentral:misc_RNA from 1 species
CAUGCACCGUUGAGCUUGAAUGGCUCUAGUUCGGCAACUUCAGUACCGAGCUCAGUGUUCUUCGGGAGCAGCUUGAAGAAAGUAGUGAACUCGAGAAUUGUGAACCCGAAGGUGUCAUCAGGCAGCUUCAAAGUGGUGGCAGCGGAAGGAGCCCCGGACGAGAAUCUCGAGAAGCAGACAUCUAAAGACAGAUGGCAAGGGCUUGGAUAUGACCAGUCAGAUGACCAACAGGACAUCACAAG